GGGUGUAACUCAAUGGUAGAACAUUUGCCUAACAUGCACAAGACCCUGGGUUUAAUCCCCAGCACCACA
rnacentral:tRNA from 1 species